rnacentral:rRNA from 1 species
UCGCCGAACCCUCUUCAUCAAGUCUGGGUGCGGGAAGAUCAGCAGGUAUUGGCAUAUUUGCUGGUUAAUCUUUCCAGAGAAGUUCUUGUCCAGGUGACCAACAUCCACAAGGCGCAUGAGCUCUGGGCUGCGGUGGCGAACAUGUUUUCGUCCCAGUCCAGAUCGCGCGUGAACAACAUCCGUGUCGCCCUCUCCAACGCAGAGAAGGGCACAUAG